rnacentral:rRNA from 1 species
CAGCCGCCACGGGAACACGGAGCGUGCGAGCGUUAAUCGGAAUUACUGGGCGUAAAGCGUACGCAGGCGGUUUGUUAAGUCAGAUGUGAAAUCCCCGAGCUUAACUCGGGAACUGCAUUUGAAACUGGCAGGCUAGAGUCUCGUAGAGGGGGGUAGAACUCCAGGUGUAGCGGUGAAAUGCGUAGAGAUCUGGAGGAAUACCGGUGGCGAAGGCGGCCCCCUGGACGAAGACUGACGCUCAGGUACGAAAGCGUGGGGAGCAAACAGGAUUAGAUACCCCGGUAGCCCUGUCUCUUAUACA